rnacentral:misc_RNA from 1 species
CCGUCAAUUCAUUUAAGUUUCAACCUUGCGGCCGUACUCCCCAGGCGGUCAACUUCACGCGUUAGCUUCGUUACUGAGUACUAAUGCACCCAACAACCAGUUGACAUCGUUUAGGGCGUGGACUACCAGGGUAUCUAAUCCUGUUUGCUCCCCACGCUUUCGUGCAUGAGCGUCAGUACAGGUCCAGGGGAUUGCCUUCGCCAUCGGUGUUCCUCCGCAUAUCUACGCAUUUCACUGCUACACGCGGAAUUCCAUCCCCCUCUACCGUACUCUAGCUAUACAGUCACAGAUGCAAUUCCCAGGUUGAGCCCGGGGAUUUCACAACUGUCUUAUAUAACCGCCUGCGCACGCUUUACGCCCAGUAAUUCCGAUUAACGCUCGCACCCUACGUAUUACCGCG